CGAGUAUCUCAUGGAGCAGCCUGCAAAUGAAUCAGUGAACUACGCUACUUUGGUCACAGCCAGACUAAUCAUAGUGGCAUCACAUAUGGCUGGCUUGGGACUUCCUGAUACAGAGGCUUGGAACAUGAUAGAGACAAUAGCAGA